rnacentral:rRNA from 1 species
UACGUAGGGUGCGAGCGUUGUCCGGAAUUAUUGGGCGUAAAGAGCUCGUACGCGGUGUGUCACGUCGGCCGUGAAAACCUGCAGCUUAACUGUGGGCGUGCGGUCGAUACGGGCAUCACUGGAGUUCGGCAGGGGAGACUGGAAUUCCUGGUGUAGCGGUGAAAUGCGCAGAUAUCAGGAGGAACACCGGUGGCGAAGGCGGGUCUCUGGGCCGAUACUGACGCUGAGGAGCGAAAGCGUGGGGAGCAAACAGG